AAACCCAAACCAGGUGUAAAAGCAUGAAAACAAACAACCACCAGCUUUCACAGGGAUAAAGAUGAUAAUUUCAGCUUUGUCAUCUCUCAGGUUUUUCUCAUGAAUCUCAUGAGAGUAACUAUUCUUUUUUUCUUUCCUUAAUUAUUUGGCUAGUACUCAGGUGGGGCAAAUGAGCUUUGAUUCAAACCCAGUGUGUUUCUAGCCAUUUUGUAGCUGUGGAGGAAACACUGCUGUUGUGUGGUGGAAAGGCUCUGGAACCAGAAGCUGAAGGAUAACUUGCAGUUAUUCGCACCCAGGCUGAGCUGCUGGCAUGCCUGCCUUUCCAUGUACUUCCCCAGAAUCUGCACGUUACAACAACCAGCUGGAAGUUCAGACCCUCUGUGUAUUUAAAAAGCUGUUGUACCUUUCUCCUUGGGCCGUUAGCUACCUAAGGAGCUGGCAAGUUGUCCGUCAUUUCUCCCCGAUUCGCAGAGCAGUGCCACCACAAGCUGCACGUACUCUAUUAUACGCGGUGCUUCACCCUCCAGAAGAAAUGCAUUUUCUUGCUUUUCCUUUAUGGGUCAAUCUGGGAAUCGAGUUGUGUCUGUAGGAACCUGGCAGAGCAGCGCCUGCCUCGCGGCACAGCAGGAGAGCUCUGGGGCUGUGCGCGCCCAGGUCCAGCCCUAUUUGUGGUGGUAAUGGGACAACCGUGCUCGUGUGUGCUUCAGGAAGACAGGCAGCUUGAUCAGGAGCCCAGGAAAUCACGGUGUAUAUAUAUUUAAUAUGAAUCAUGACUCAGAUGCUCGGUAACACGGCCACUUAGCUCUGGCUGAGAAGCAGCAGGGUAAGGCCCUGUUCUGCGGGGGGCUGGGGGAAGCAGAGCUCGCUGCUGCACCACAGCCACGUCUCUCAGGCUUCUGAACAGCCCUGCCCUGAACGUGCCUCCAGCCCUGGAGAACGAGCAGGGCUCCUCCAAAAUGAACAGGCUUGCACCGAAACAAAGCUGAUGCGAAACUGCAAGGAGCCAGGACAGUCAGAGCAAUAGUUGUCUCGGGAGGAUGGGAGAGAACACCUCAGAGCGAAAUUCUGAGCUACAGAAACAAAAAUAAAAUUAAAAAAUUGAAGGAUUUUCAUUUUUAGUGUUGUUUCUGUGCCUUUUGCUCAGAGGAAAAACCCUUUUGGAAAAUUCUAUAUUACUAUCGUGUACUAGGCUAUAGCGCAGAGGCUAGCUCAGACAAACUACCACAGCUUCCUUGGUUUCAACUGAAUGAAUUUAAUUUACAGCAGCAAAUAUCUGGCGUGGAUUUUUUAUUUUAAUUAUUAACAUUAGUCAACUGGAACAUCUGUUAAUGCUUUCCUAAUGAUAGCCUUGUUUUCUCAUAGUAAGUAAACUUUUCCCUUUUAUAUAAAUUGAGCUAAUUUUUUAAUGUCUCGGUAACAUGGGAAAAGUUAUCCUACAGGUUACAAAUCGCUUUUAUAAAGCACUCUGUCACAGAAAGAAAUUACAGUGUCAGGAAAAUGCUCAAUUAUCUGGAUUUAAAUGUUUCAGGGUUCAAAACAAAAAUAUUUAUGUAUAUACAGGUGUGUAUGCAUUUGAGUUAAAAACCCUUGCACUUUAUAAUUUCUUGUUUUAAAUACCGGCUACAUUUUAAAGACAAAUAGCAGAUAAUAUUUGAGAUAUUUAUAAAAGCUCUGAGCAUGGCUGAAAUGGAAGCUGCUAAUGGGCACCUGCUAAGGAGGCAAAGUCUGAUGGAGCAGGGAGCAUGGGGGGGACUCUGGCUGCGGUUUUGGCAGCCUCCGCGAGACGGGCAUUGCCAGCGCUCUCAUUAGGAACAAGAUCCUUCCAAACACACUUAAACGAUUUCUGAAGAGAGAAGCAGAUGAAAUAUUGGGUGAAAAUGCCAAUUUGGAAAAGCGGAAAGGUUUUAUGGGCAGAUGAAGGGGAGCAGGGGGUGUUAACCGCCCACACCACAGGGUGCAAGGCAGGAAGAUGGGGAUGCCCCAGGGCCGGGAGGUUUCAUCGCUGCCGCUCAUUCAUUUCGGGGCCAUGGAGCUCAGCCGGGGAUGAGCUGGUGCUGGGGGCACCUGGCUGCACUGCUGCCACCCCAGCGUGCCUCUUGGAGGGACACAGGGAGCAGGAAUAGGGGCUGAUAGCUCAGAGGAGCAACUUCUCUGUCUAGCGAGGGUUUUGGGCAAGCCAGCAGAGAGUGCUUGGCCUCUGGUCCUCAGUCAGGAAGGUGCUCGGUGCCCGAUGAACAUGGUCAGAGGCAGGCAGAGGCUGUCGGAGAGCACAGGCUCUCCUCAGGGGCUGGUAUCGCCCAGGUCUCUGUACAUCUCAUAAGUCUGUGAGAAUGACACAGUUUGAGCUGACAGACUGUGUGCUGGAGACACCUCUUUUAGUGAAAAUCCUGCAACAAAGCGCCCCAAAUCAGUAAGACCACAAGUUUAAGUUUAAGGCUUGGAUAGCUCCUCAUACGUCCCUUUCCAAUGAACUCUUAAAAGCUCUGUUUAAACGUCUGUUUUUUUUUUAAUUCUUGUCAACUCAUUUAAAGCACUCGUUCAUGUAUAAUUUCGGUGAUUGCAGUGUACUGAGGACACUUCAAGUCCUCAGGAGCACUCAGUUUUCUCUACCCGCGUGUUCAGAAAGGAAGGGAAAGAGAACGAGACCAAGUCACCACACAGACGGGAACAGGGACUUAUUUGCACUCUAGAGCACAUUCUGCAUGUAUUUUACAACAAAGUUUUGUUCCCAAGCAACCCUGAGUGUUUCCUUGACCCUAACUUUCUUGUGGCAAAGGUAUAACGAUGUACACGUGUGUGUUGGCAGAAAGAUAGGUGCAGUCGUUGUUAAACAGAA